UACGUAGGGUGCAAGCGUUGCCCGGAUUUAUUGGGCGUAAAGGGCGCGUAGGCGGCUACGCACGUCCGUUGUGAAAUCGCCCGGCUCAACUGGGCGGGGUCGGCGGAUACGGCAGAGCUUGAGCAAGCUAGGGGGCAAUGGAAUUCCCGGUGUAGUGGUGGAAUGCGUAGAUAUCGGGAGGAACACCAGUGGCGAAGGCGGUUGCCUGGGGCUUUGCUGACGCUGAUGCGCGAAAGCGUGGGGAGCGAUCCGG
rnacentral:rRNA from 1 species